rnacentral:rRNA from 1 species
AUUGAACGCUGGCGGCAUGCCCUACACAUGCAAGUCGAACGGUAACGGGCCUUCGGGUGCCGACGAGUGGCGAACGGGUGAGUAAUGCAUCGGAACGUACCUUUCAGUGGGGGAUAACGUAGCGAAAGUUACGCUAAUACCGCAUAUUCUGUGAGCAGGAAAGCAGGGGAUCGCAAGACCUUGCGCUGAUUGAGCGGCCGAUGUCAGAUUAGCUAGUUGGUGAGGUAAAGGCUCACCAAGGCGACGAUCUGUAGCGGGUCUGAGAGGAUGAUCCGCCACACUGGAACUGAGACGCGGUCCAGACUCCUACGGGAGGCAGCAGUGGGGAAUUUUGGACAAUGGGGGCAACCCUGAUCCAGCCAUGCCGCGUGAGUGAAGAAGGCCUUCGGGUUGUAAAGCUCUUUCGGUCGGGAAGAAAUCGCAUGGGUUAAUACCCUGUGCGGAUGACGGUACCGGCAUAAGAAGCACCGGCUAACUACGUGCCAGCCGCCGCAGUAAGAC